UACGAAGGGGGCUAGCGUUGCUCGGAAUCACUGGGCGUAAAGGGUGCGUAGGCGGGUCUUUUAAGUCAGGGGUGAAAUCCUGGAGCUCAACUCCAGAACUGCCUUUGAUACUGAAGAUCUUGAGUUCGGGAGAGGUGAGUGGAACUGCGAGUGUAGAGGUGAAAUUCGUAGAUAUUCGCAAGAACACCAGUGGCGAAGGCGGCUCACUGGCCCGAUACUGACGCUGAGGCACGAAAGCGUGGGGAGCAAAC
rnacentral:rRNA from 1 species